AUUGAACGCUGGCGGCAGGCCUAACACAUGCAAGUCGAACGACUGGCGGACGGGUGAGUAAUGUCUGGGAAACUGCCUGAUGGAGGGGGAUAACUACUGGAAACGGUAGCUAAUACCGCAUACCAUCGGAUGUGCCCAGAUGGGAUUAGCUAGUAGGUGGGGUAACGGCUCACCUAGGCGGCGAUCCCUAGCUGGUCUGAGAGGAUGACCAGCCACACUGGAACUGCGACACGGUCCAGACUCCUACGGGAGGCAGCAGGGGGGAAUAGUGCACAAUGGGCGCAAGCCUGAUGCAGCCGUUGCGCGUGUAUGAAGAAGGCGUUUGGGUUGUAAAGUACUUUCGGCGAGGGGGCGUUACUCGCAGAAGAAGCACCGGCUAGCUCCGUGCCAGCAGCCGCGGUAAUUC
rnacentral:rRNA from 1 species